AUGAGCAAAGCUCACCCUCCCGAUUUGAAUAAAUUUAUGGACAAGAAGUUAUCAUUAAUAUUAAAUGGUGGCAGACAUGUCCAAGGAAUAUUGAGGGGAUUUGAUCCCUUUUUGAAUCUUGUGAUAGAUGAAUGUGUGGAGAUGGCAACUAGUGGGCAACAGAACAAUAUUGGAAUUGUGGUAAUACAAGGAAAUAGUAUCAUCAUGUUAGAAGCCUUGGAAGGAGUAUGA